GCUGAAGCCAUAAACUUCAAACCGAAUGUAACGAGAGUUCUCACUGAGCAAGGAAAAUGAAGUCAAGCUAGAGGAAAAGUGGUUCAUAUUUUUUAGAUGGGACUAUGAAAAAUUUAAGCCAACUCACAUGGCAUUUUAGAGAUGCUCAGAAGUUUAAAGAGGCUUCCUUCAAACCAGGAUCAUAAAAAUAGUUAUCCAUAUUUUCUUCUAUUAAUUUCAAGCCUUCAAGAUAACUUUUAAAUUGUUGAUCCGUCUGGAAUUUAUUUUGGUAUAAAAGUAAGAGGAAAUUCUGCCUGUGGAUGACAGCUUCAGCCCAUGCCUUUGAAGUUCCAUCCUGCUUGUGAGCUUCUCUUCCUGCCUGCCAGUGGAUGAGAACUUCCUCCUGUGCCCAUGAAUUUGAGCCUGCUCCUGAUCUCCCUUCCUGACGGCCUGUGCUAUGAAUUUCAGACUUGCUCAGCCAGCCCCCAGGGGGAAGACAGCUACCUGUGGACCAGGAAGUGGCUCUCACCAGACACCAAAUCUGCUUCCACCUUGAUCUUGGACUUCCCAGCCUCUAGAACUGUGAGUAAUAAAUUUCUCUUGUUUAUAAACUACCUAGUCUGUGGUAUUCUGUUAGAGCAGCCU
rnacentral:lncRNA from 1 species